UGGGGAAUAUUGCACAAUGGAGGGAACUCUGAUGCAGCGACGCCGCGUGAACUAAGAAGGCUUUCGAGUCGUAAAGUUCUUUUAUAUGGGAAGAUAAUGACGGUACCAUAAGAAAAAGCCCCGGCUAACUACGUGCCAGCAGCCGCGGUAAUACGUAGGGGGCUAGCGUUGUCCGGAAUCACUGGGCGUAAAGGGUUCGCAGGCGGAAAUGCAAGUCAGGUGUAAAAGGCAGUAGCUUAACUACUGUAAGCAUUUGAAACUGCAUAUCUUGAGAAGAGUAGAGGUAAGUGGAAUUUUUAGUGUAGCGGUGAAAUGCGUAGAUAUUAAAAAGAAUACCGGUGGCGAAAGCGACUUACUGGGCUCAUUCUGACGCUGAGGAACGAAAGCGUGGGUAGCAAACAGG
rnacentral:rRNA from 1 species